GACGAACGCUGGCGGCGUGCCUAAUACAUGCAAGUCGAACGAGAGCGACCGGUUCUUGCACUGGUCAAUCUAGUGGCGAACGGGUGAGUAACACGUGGGUAACCUGCCCAUCAGAGGGGGAUAACAUCCGGAAACGGAUGCUAACACCGCAUAGGUCUUCGAACCGCAUGGUUUUACGAGGAAAAGAGGCGCAAGCUUCUGCUGAUGGAUGGACCCGCGGUGCAUUAGCUAGUUGGUGGGGUAACGGCUCACCAAGGCCGUGAUGCAUAGCCGACCUGAGAGGAUGAUCGGCCACAUUGGGACUGAGACACGGCCCAAACUCCUACGGGAGGCAGCAGUAGGGAAUCUUCCGCAAUGGACGCAAGUCUGACGGAGCAACGCCGCGUGAGUGAAGAAGGUUUUCGGAUCGUAAAACUCUGUUGUUAGAGAAGAACAAGUGCUAGAGUAACUGUUAGCGCCUUGACGGUAUCUAACCAGAAAGCCACGGCUAACUACGUG
rnacentral:rRNA from 1 species